rnacentral:rRNA from 1 species
UACGGAGGUGGCGAGCGUUGCUCGGAUUUACUGGGUGUAAAGGGCACGUAGGCGGUCCCGUAAGCCCUGCCUGAAAUGCUCGGGCUCAACCUGAGCAGGUGGCAGGGGACUGCGGGGACUAGAGGAUGGGAGAGGCGGGCGGAAUUCCCGGUGUAAGGGUGAAAUCUGUAGAGAUCGGGAGGAACACCAGUGGCGAAGGCGG